rnacentral:rRNA from 1 species
UGACGGUAUCAUAUGAAUAAGCACCGGCUAACUCCGUGCCAGCAGCCGCGGUAAUACGGGGGGUGCAAGCGUUACUCGGAAUCACUGGGCGUAAAGAGCAUGUAGGCGGGUGAAUAAGUUGGAAGUGAAAUCCUAUAGCUUAACUAUAGAACUGCUUCCAAAACUGUUCACCUAGAGUAUGGGAGAGGUAGAUGGAAUUUCUGGUGUAGGGGGUAAAAUCCGUAGAGAUCAGAAGGAAUACCGAUUGCGAAGGCGAUCUACUGGAACAUUACUGACGCUCAGAUGCGAAAGCGUGGGGAGCAAACAGGAUUAGAUACCCUGGUAGUCCACGCCCUAAACGAUGUACACUAGUUGUCGCUAUACUAGAUAUGGCAGUAAUGCAGUUAACACUUUAAGUGUACCGCCUGGGGGAGUACGGUCGCAAGAUUAAAACUCAAAGGAAUAGACGGGGACCCGCACAAGCGGUGGAGCAUGUGGUUUAAUUCGACGAUACGCGAAAAACCUUACCUGGCCUUGACAUAGUAGGAAUCUUUAAGAGAUUAGAGAGUGCUAGCUUGCUAGAACCUACAUACAGGUGCUGCACGGCUGUCGUCAGC